rnacentral:lncRNA from 1 species
AUGCCCCCCCGCCCGCUCCCCGUGUGGCUGCGCUCCGCACCCCUCCCCGCGCUCCGUCCCGCCCCGCCCUUCCCCGCCCCUCCCCCCCCCCCGCGCUCCCCACUCCCCGCCCCUGCCCCCCGCCCGCUCCCCGUGUGGCUGCGCUCCGCACCCCUCCCCGCGCUCCGUCCCGCCCCGCCCUUCCCCGCCCCCUCCCCCUUCCCCCUCCCCGCUCUCCCACUCCCCCCCCUGGCCCCGCCCGCUCCCCGUGUGGCUGCGCUCCGCACCCACCCCCACCCCCCGGCGCUCCGCACCCCCUCCCCCCUCCCCGCCCCUCCCCUUCCCCCCUUCCCCCCCUCCCCCCCUCCCCGCGCUCCCCACUUCCCGCCCCUGCCCCCCGCCCACUCCCCGUGUGGCUGCGCUCCGCACCCCUCCCCGCGCUCCGUCCCGCCCCGCCCUUCCCCGCCCCUCCCCUUCCCCGCCCCCUCCCCUUCCCCGCCCCCUCCCCCUUCCCCCCUCCCCGCGCUCCCUACUCCCCGCCCCUGCCCCCCGCCCGCUCCCGGUGUGGCUGCGCUCCGCACCCACCCCCCGCCCGGCGCUCCGCACCCCCUCCCCCCUCCAACCCCUCCCCUCCCUCCUCCCUCCUCCCUCCUCCCCCCGGCCGCUCGCAGCCGUCCUCCGGGGGGGUCAGCGUGGGCGGAGGGCGGGCCCCUCGCGGGGCGGGGCGGGGCGCGGAGCCGGCGGCGGGGCCUCGGGUGCGCUGGGGCGGGCGUUGGCAGCCAUGAGCGCGCACCUGCCCGGACAGCCGCCCCCCGCCGCCCCCGGAGGCCGCCCCGGACGCCCGCAGGACCCCGCGCCGGUGAGUGCGCCCCCGCCCCCGCCCCCACCCCGCCCCCGCCGCUCGCCGCGCCCCUCCCCCACCCGCACCCCACCUCCCCGUCACCUGGGCGGCCCGCGGGCGGGGCGGGCGCUGGGUCCUGGCUGGAGGGGCGCGCACCUCCCGGCCGCCCCCGACCCGACCCCGAAUGCAAACUGCGGACUUGCUGCUCAGCGCCCGGAGGCCUGGCGGGAAGCGCAGGGGCCAAUGCUCCUGGGAUCCAGAGUUUUCUAGAAUUGAGUUUGGGGUCGGGGCCCCAGUUCCUUGACUUGGGCGGCCCCUGGAUCCGCGAGUGUCAGAGCCGGGGCCCCGGGUCAAAGCCAGGUCAGGGGGCUCCCACUUUGCACCCCGUUCCCUGGACUCCUGUGUCCCUCCUGGUGCGGGUGCCCCGGGCGCCCUGCACCUGGGGACGGCUCUGCCCACCGGGCGCCCUGCACCUGGGGACGGCCGUGCCCACCGGGCGCCCUGCACUUGGGGACGGCUCUGCCCACCGGGCGCCCUGCACCUGGGGACGGCUCUGCCCACCGGGCGCCCUGCACCUGGGGACGGCUCUGCCCACCGGGCGCCCUGCACCUGGGGACGGCCGUGCCCACCGGGCGCCCUGCACCUGGGGACGGCUCUGCCCACCGGGCGCCCUGCACCUGGGGACGGCUCUGCCCACCGGGCGCCCUGCACCUGGGGACCGCUCUGCCCACCGGGCGCCCUGCACCUGGGACGGCUGUGCCCACCGGGCGCCCUGCACCUGGGGACGGCUCUGCCCACCGGGCUCCCUGCACCUGGGACAGCCGUGCCCACCGGGCGCCCUGCACCUGGGGACGGCUCUGCCCACCGGGCGCCCUGCACCUGGGGACGGCUCUGCCCACCGGGCGCCCUGCACCUGGGACGGCCGUGCCCACCGGGCGCCCUGCACCUGGGGACGGCUCUGCCCACCGGGCGCCCUGCACCUGGGACGGCCGUGCCCACCGGGCGCCCUGCACCUGGGGACGGCUCUGCCCACCGGGCUCCCUGCACCUGGGACGGCCGUGCCCACCGGGCGCCCUGCACCUGGGGACGGCUCUGCCCACCGGGCACCCUGCACCUGGGGACGGCUCUGCCCACCGGGCGCCCUGCACCUGGGACGGCCAUGCCCACCGGGCGCCCUGCACCUGGGGACGGCUCUGCCCACCGGGCGCCCUGCACCUGGGGACGGCCGUGCCCACCGGGCGCCCUGCACCUGGGGACGGCUCUGCCCACCGGGCGCCCUGCACCUGGGGACGGCUCUGCCCACCGGGCGCCCUGCACCUGGGACGGCCGUGCCCACCGGGCGCCCUGCACCUGGGGACGGCUCUGCCCACCGGGCGCCCUGCACCUGGGGACGGCCGUGCCCACCGGGCGCCCUGCACCUGGGGACGGCUCUGCCCACCGGGCGCCCUGCACCUGGGGACGGCUCUGCCCACCGGGCGCCCUGCACCUGGGGACGGCUCUGCCCACCGGGCGCCCUGCACCUGGGGACGGCUCUGCUCACCGGGCGCCCUGCACCUGGGGACGGCUCUGCCCACCGGGCGCCCAGCACCUGGGACGGCUGUGCCCACCGGGCGCCCUGCACCUGGGGACAGCUCUGCCCACCGGGCUUCCUGCACCUGGGACAGCCGUGCCCACCGGGCGCCCUGCACCUGGGGACGGCUCUGCCCACCAGGCGCCCUGCACCUGGGGACGGCUCUGCCCACCGGGCGCCCUGCACCUGGGACGGCCGUGCCCACCGGGCGCCCUGCACCUGGGGACGGCUCUGCCCACCGGGCUCCCUGCACCUGGGACGGCCGUGCCCACCGGGCGCCCUGCACCUGGGGACGGCUCUGCCCACCGGGCACCCUGCACCUGGGGACGGCUCUGCCCACCGGGCGCCCUGCACCUGGGACGGCCGUGCCCACUGGGCGCCCUGCACCUGGGAACGGCUGUGCCCACCAUGUGCCCUCCACCUGGGGGCAUCUCUGAGUCCAGUUCCUCCAAAGGAUGCUGUUUUCACACCCAUUCCAGUCCUUGCCCCAAACAACUCCCCUUCUACCUUCUUUUUUGAAAAGCUAAACUGCUGA